AUUGAACGCUGGCGGCAGGCCUAACACAUGCAAGUCGAGCGAGCGGCGGACGGGUGAGUAAUGUCUGGGAAACUGCCUGAUGGAGGGGGAUAACUACUGGAAACGGUAGCUAAUACCGCAUACCAUCAGAUGUGCCCAGAUGGGAUUAGCUGGUAGGUGGGGUAACGGCUCACCUAGGCGACGAUCCCUAGCUGGUCUGAGAGGAGGACCAGCCACACGGGGACUGAGACACGGUCCAGACUCCUACGGUAGGCAGCAGUGGGGAAUAUUGCACAAUGGGCGCAAGCCUGAUUCAGCCAUGCCGCGUGUUUGAAGAAGGCCUUCGGGCUGUAAAGCACUUUAAGCGGGGAGGCGUUACCCGCAGAAGAAGCACCGGCUAACUCCGUGCCAGCAGCCGCGGUAAUAC
rnacentral:rRNA from 1 species